AUCACUGAGUCAGCAAUGUUGACUCUCUGCUCACUGAUCUCAUUCUGCAUGUUAUGGGGUCAAAGUGUUGGAGACACCAUCACACCAGAGAAGGAUGCUGAACAAGCCGCUGAGGGCAGUAAAGUGAAGCUCUCCUGCAGAUACAGCAGCUCUCGAGUUUACAGUCUGUUAUGGUACCGCCAGUAUCCUGGAUCAGCUCCCCAGUUCCUCAUACUGGAAAACUCAGGAGUCGAAAAUAAUCCCAUACCAGGACUGAGCAUCCAACAUGUCAAAGAGCAGAGUCGAGUGGAUCUGGAGAUCUCCUCAGCUGAAGUGACAGACUCUACUCUGUACGAAGGCAGCAACGUUACUCUGUCAUACAAAUAUUCAGAGAAAGCAACUGGUCGUGAUUCCUUCUUCUGGUAUCGUCAAGAUCCAGGAAAACCACCAGAAUUCCUCCUGUCCAUUGCAGGAUAUCAAGAUUCAGAAGAGUUUCUCAAAUCAGACCCAAGGAUUUCUACUAAACUGUCUGAGAACAAGCAUGGUGUGGAUCUGGAGAUCUCCUCUGCUGCAGUGACAGACUCUGCUCUGUACUACUGUGCUGUG